CCACCUGGAGCCGAAAAGCGAGGCGCUGUGCUGAUAACACAGAAAUAGGAGGGGCAGUACCUCUCAGGUGGA
rnacentral:tRNA from 1 species